rnacentral:lncRNA from 1 species
CAGCAACAGAAAGGCUCCAGGUGGACUUCCUGGCUCCUUCCCCACUCCUCACAUGGAGGCAACCUUUGGCUUUCGGCUCUGGGCUCUGGGUUCCAGUUCCUGGGGUCCAGGCAGCAGGUUCUAUGCAGUGGCAGAGGAAUGAAAAGGAUACUUAGUUGCACUGGACAGUGCAUUUCAGACCAAGAUCCCUCCGUGAGGAUGUGAACCAUCCAAUGCAGCAGCAUGGAACAGCGCAGAGGCUUCACUCUGGAUGACAAACGAGGAGGGGAAAGGCUUGCCCUGCCUGGACGCUCGAUCCCACACUGUCCGUGUAACCAACUUGAACCCUGGAGCAAGUCACAGCAAGUAUCAUCUCUCUCUUCAGUGGGGCCUCCCAGUGGUUCCCCUUCAGACCUGGGAAAGCAUCCAUCUCUCUGAGCCUCAGUGUACUGGUCUGUAAAAUGGGCCUCCUAUGAAGCUCAGUGAAGUAAGCAGUAUAAAUAAAUGAUUUAUGAGGUCACA